UGUGAUAUCUCGUGACUUGAGCCGGGGGUCUUUCGGAAACAGCCUUUCUACUUCAUCAGAGGUAGAGGUAUAUGUGUUUGUGUGAUAUCUCGUGACUUGAGCCGGGGGUCUUUCGGAAACAGCCUUUCUACUUCAUCAGAGGUAGAGGUAUGGACUGCGUACAUCUUACCCCCCCCAGACCCCACUAAGUGGGAAUACACUGGGUUUGUUGUUGUUGUUGUUGUAAUUCACUUCUCAAGUGACCACACUUAACUCAAAACACAAGUUCACAUUUCAAGUAUCUACACUUAAGCAUUUUGAAGUCACUAAUUCACUUAUCAAAUGACCACACUUUACUAAAUUCAAAACACAAGUUCACCUUUCAAGUAACUACACUUAAACAUUUUGAAGUCACUAAUUCACUUCUCAAGUGACCACACUUUAGUAAAUUUAAAACACAAGUUCACAUUUCAAGUACCUACACUUGUUUAUUUUCAAGUUGCUAAUUCACUUAUCAAGUGAUCACACUUAACUAAAAUGCAAAACACAAGUUCACCUUUCAAGAACCUAUACUUAAAUAUUUCCGAGUCACUAAUUCAUUUAUCAAGUGACCACACUUUAGUAAAUUCAAAACACAAGUUCACAUUUCAAGUACCUACACUUAAAUAUUUCCGAGUCACUAAUUCAUUUAUCAAGUGACCACACUUUAGUAAAUUCAAAACACAAGUUCACAUUUCAAAUACCUACACUAAAACAUUUUCGAGUCGCUAAUUCACCUAUCAAGUGACCACACUUAACUAAAAUCAAAACAAAAUUUCACCUUUCA
rnacentral:lncRNA from 1 species